rnacentral:rRNA from 1 species
AUUGAACGCUGGCGGCAUGCCUUACACAUGCAAGUCGAACAGUAACAGGUCUUCGGAUGCUGACGAGUGGCGAACGGGUGAGUAAUACAUCGGAACGUGCCCGAGAGUGGGGGAUAACGAGGCGAAAGCUUUGCUAAUACCGCAUACGAUCUCAGGAUGAAAGCAGGGGACCGCAAGGCCUUGCGCUCACGGAGCGGCCGAUGGCAGAUUAGGUAGUUGGUGGGAUAAAAGCUUACCAAGCCGACGAUCUGUAGCUGGUCUGAGAGGACGACCAGCCACACUGGGACUGAGAUACGGCCCAGACUCCUACGGGAGGCAGCAGUGGGGAAUUUUGGACAAUGGGCGCAAGCCUGAUCCAGCCAUGCCGCGUGCAGGAUGAAGGCCUUCGGGUUGUAAACUGCUUUUGUACGGAACGAAAAGACUCUGGUUAAUACCUGGGGUCCAUGACGGUACCGUAAGAAUAAGCACCGGCUAACUACGUGCCAGCCGCCGCCGUAAAAC